UACGAAGGGUGCGAGCGUUGUUCGGAAUUACUGGGCGUAAAGGGUGUGUAGGCGGUUUAGUAAGAUAGCGGUGAAAUGCCGGGGCUCAACCUCGGAACUGCCGUUAUAACUAUUUGACUAGAGUGAUAGAGAGGAUAUGGGAAUACCCAGUGUAGAGGUGAAAUUCGUAGAUAUUGGGUAGAACACCAGUGGCGAAGGCGCAUAUCUGGCUAUUAACUGACGCUGAGGCACGAAAGCAUGGGGAUCAAACAGG
rnacentral:rRNA from 1 species